CCCCUAGAUGUUCUGGGCCGCACGCGCGCUACACUGAACAGUUCAACAAGUCUUAACCUUGGCCGAUAGGUCUGGGUAAUCUUUGAACGCUGUUCGUGACUGGGAUAGACCUUUGCAAUUAUGGGUCUUCAACGAGGAAUUCCUAGUAAACGCAAGUCAUCAGCUUGCAUUGAUUACGUCCCUGCCCUUUGUACACACCGCCCGUCGCACCUACCGAUUGAAUGGUCCGGUGAAAUCUUCGGAUCUGAGAGAUGUCUGAUUAAUUUCGGACGCCUUUUGGAAAAGUUGUUUAAACCUUACCAUUUAGAGGAAGGUGAAGUCGUAACA
rnacentral:rRNA from 1 species